rnacentral:lncRNA from 1 species
UCAACUCUUUUAUCAGUGUUCUUCUCACCUGUCAUUUCAGAAGGAUUCGGGAAUCAAACAUACUGCUGAGAUAAAAUUUUACCCCACCUAUAUUUUGGCCCUGGGAAAAAUGUUCCACCACUGACCAUAGCAUCAUCAUAAGACUGCAGAAUAGAUCCUUCAUCCUCUGGUACUCCAUCGCCCAGUCACAGAUAUCAGUAAUACCAUGGUCAUCAACUAUGCCACGAGGACAAAUUUGAAA